UACAUAGGGUGCGAGCGUUAAUCGGAAUUACUGGGCGUAAAGCGCGCGUAGGCGGCUUUGCAAGUCGGGUGUGAAAUCCCCAGGCUUAACCUGGGAACUGCAUUCGAGACUGCAUUGCUAGAGUAUGGGAGAGGGAAGUGGAAUUUCCGGUGUAGCGGUGAAAUUCGUAGAUAUUCGGAAGAACACCAGUGGCGAAGGCGACUCACUGGACACGUAUUGACGCUGAGGUGCGAAAGCGUGGGGAGCAAACAGG
rnacentral:rRNA from 1 species